UUCCGGUUGAUCCCGCCGGAGGUUACUGCUAUUGGAGUUCGAUUAAGCCAUGCGAGUCAAGGGGACUUCGGUCACCGGCGGAAUGCUCAGUAACACGUGGACAAUCUGCCCUCGGGUGGGGAAUAAACCCGCGAAAGUGGGGCUAAUACCCCAUAGGCACAGGAGGCUGGAAUGCAUCUGUGCCCAAAGCUCCGGCGCCCGAGGAUGAGUCUGCGGCCUAUCAGGUAGUAGUCAGGGUCACGACCUGACUAGCCAGCGACGGGUACGGGCCUUGAGAGAGGUCGCCCGGAGAUGGACUCUGAGACACGAGUCCAGGCCCUACGGGGCGCAGCAGGCGCGAAAACUUCGCAAUGCAGGAAACUGUGACGAGGGAACUCCAAGUGUCCAUGCAUUGCAUGGACUGUUUGCCAGCCUAAAAAGCUGAUAGAGUAAGGGGUGGGAAAGACCGGUGCCAGCCGCCGCGGUAGCACCGGCACCUCAAGUGGUAGCCACUAUUAUUGGGCCUAAAGCGUUCGUAGCCGGCUUGGUUAAUUCCUGGGUAAAUCGUACCGCUUGACGGUGCGGAUUCCGGGGGCACUGCCAAGCUUGAGACCGGGGGAGAUCAGAGGUACUUGCGGGGGAGCGGUGAAAUGUUGUAAUCCCGCAGGGACCACCAAUGGCGAAGGCAUCUGAUCAAAACGGCUCUGACGGUGAGGAACGAAACCUGGGGCGCAAACGGGAUUAGAUACCCCGGUAGUCCAGGGCGUAAACGCUGCUGACUUGUGUUGGGGUCCUGCGAGGCGUCCAGUGCCGCACGAAGUAUGAGUCAGCCGC
rnacentral:rRNA from 1 species